AACAGCAAACAUUGUAUCUCAAUAAACUAUAUUGCUCUCUCUUUCUUUCUUUACUGCUGUUAAUUGUGGUGUUGUUAUUUAUAAUUUAAGUGUGUUAUCAUUGUAGUGUAUAAGUGAUAUUAAUUUAAGAUACCAAUCACUACAAUAUUUAAAUAUUAUUCGGUACCAGCCAGGAAUCCAAAGAUAUACCUAACUUAGGCAAUGAAGAAGAUUUUUCAAAUAACAGCCAAAUUUGACAUACCUAGCUUUAGCAAGCCUUCAGUCAUCCUCAUUGCUUUUUAGUCAGGAAUUCCAAAGAUACACUGAACUUACGCUCAACCAGAAACUUCUAAUAACAACCAAGUUUGGAAAAGUGUUGCUAUAUUGAGUUUCAACUUUCCAAAUAAGGAACGUACAAGGUUCAAAUUAGGCUUGCCGUAUUUCAGAAAGCCUCAUUCGUCCCGUCAAUUGGUAUUUCGGCAUGCCGUACUGGAAUUCCAGUCGGGAUAUAUAGUCUAGUUACCAUUGCUACCUACCAGUCAGGAAUUCAAAUAUGAGGACUGAGUGCGACCUUACAACAGACGUCCCUAGUUUCAUCUGACUUUGGCGUACCAAACAUCGGCAAACCUUAGAUAGCCAUUGCUACCUACCAGCCAGGAAUUUCAAUGUUAGGCCUGAGUGCGACUUGCCACAGACGGUCCUAGUUUCAUCUGACUUUGGCAUACCAAACUUCGGCAAACCUUAGUUUACCAUUGCUACCUACCAGUUAGGAAUUCCAAUGUUAGGCCUGAGUGCGGCCUUGCCACAGACUUCCCUAGUUUGGUCUAACUUCGGCACGCCAAACUUCGGCAAACUUCAGGUUACCAUUGCUACCUACCAGUCAGGAAUUCCAAUAGUAUGCCGUUCUUCGGCAAUGCCACAGAGUUUCGUGAUCACAAUCGAAUCUGGAAUUUUUUCGGCAUGCCAAUGUUCAUUUUGCCUCAUGAAAAUCUAAUUAGAUACGAAUCAGGCUUGCUUUACUUAGGCAAGCCUGGUUUGGGCCAAACUGAUUUUUCGGCAAGCCUCACCAAAAUUUCUAGUCAGGUCUCUCAGGACACUGUUUAAAUGCGUGUUGAAGCGGUUUGUGAUCUGUGUAGAUCGUUACGUGUCGACCCUCGAAAAUAUGCCGGAAAUGACUAACGGCUUCGUAGAUCGCGUGUAGUUCUCGAUCAUAAGUAGACAAUUUUUGGAUCGACGGCAGUAAUUUCCGGCUAAAGAAAGCCAGCGGCUGCCAGUUAUUGCUUAUGCGUUGCUGGAGGACGGCAUCAAUCCCGAUUUCUGAUGCAUCGGUAGAAACUGCCCAACUCACGUCGGUUCUUGGGGCACAAAGAGUGUUGCAUCAGCGAGAGAUCGUUUAGCGGCAUCAAAGGCGUUUUGCAAAUCAGCUGUCCAGUUGACAGGAUGCGAUCCUUUGAUUUUCGGUCCUUCUAGUACUUUAUUUAACGGCGCUAAAAUUUCUGCAGCGUUCUUAAUGAACUUUCUGUAGAAAUUAAUUGUGCCGAGGAAUACAAGAAGUGGUUUAACGGUUUUGGGAGGCUGGAGAUUAACGAUAGCCUCUACUUUUUCCGGCAAUGGUUUAAUUCCGUGUUCGUUGAUCAAAUAACCGAGGAAUUUAACUUCGGUUUUGCCUAGCUGGCACUUUGGAACGUUAAUCACUAGUCCGUAAUCACGAAGACGUUGACAUAAUAUAUUGAGGUGUUUGAAAUGCUCCUCUUUGUCUUUGGAUGCGACUAGUAUGUCUUCGAUAUAUGGAAAUACGAAAUCCAGAUCAUAGGUGAUUACGUCGAUAAAUCUCUGGAACGUCUGUGCUGCAUUUUUAAGUCCAAAAGUCAUGUAUGAAAACUCGAAUAAGCCAAACGGGCCGAUAAUAGCUGAUUUCUCGACAUCUUCUGGAGCUACUCGAAGUUGGAGGAAAGCUUUCGUAAAAUCGACGACAGAAAAGAUUCGGUCCCUAUGUAAAUACGCGGCAAAAUCAUCCAUAUAUCGAAGCGCAUAUUUAUCGAUAAGAGUACGUUCGUCUAAUGGGCGAUAAUCGCCACAUGGUCUCCAUCCAACGUCCUUUUUCUGAACCAUGGGUAAUGGCGAAGACCAAACACUCUUCGAUGGCUGACAACAAUAUUCGCGGCAAAACGACCCAAGAACUCGCGAAAUUUUUACAAACUGUGUAACGCACGUGUUCGUCGCUUCCCUUAAAAAGAUAUUGCGUCGGGGUCACCAAUUCAGUGGUUAAGAACAUAAAAAAAUUACAAAAAUCGCAACCUGCAACAAUAUGGCAAAAAAAUUUUUUUUCAAUUUUUUAAAAAACAUCUGGAUUUUGGAGCUCGGCAAAGUCCAAGCACUGACUCGAUUUGUCAAAAACAAAUUGCUGUAACUUUGCAACCAUUGCAGAUACAGUUUUCGACCUUCAAGUCGAUCUAUAUACGAAGAAAUCCACAAAACGUCUUUUUUGUGCCUAUUUAGACAGUCGAUCUGAAAGAGUAAACUCCAAUUGUGCGUCGGAGCUGACACACACACACUUUUUUUUUUAAUAUUUCUU